GCUCAGUGGGAUAGAGCACCGGCCUCCGGAGCCGGGAGCAGGCGUUCGAGUCGCCUCGGGGGUA
rnacentral:tRNA from 1 species